rnacentral:rRNA from 1 species
UGCUUGCCGUGGACGUUGAUUGACGUGAGUGGCGGACGGGUGACUACACGUGGGUAACCUACCCUUAAGUGGGGGAUAACAUUUGGAAACUGAUGCUAAUACCGCAUAACCAUUCAGACCACAUGGUCUGAAUGUAAAAGACGGCCUUUGGCUGUCACUUUUGGACGGACCCGCGGCGUAUUAGUUAAUUGGUAACGUAACGGCUUACCAAGACAAUGAUACGUAUCCGACCUGAGAGGGUAAUCGGCCACAUUGUGACUGACCCAGAACCCAAACUCAAACGGGAGGCAGCAGUAGGGAAUCUUCCACAAUGGACGAAAGUCUGAUGGAGCAACGCCGCGUGAGUGAAGAAGGUUUUAGGAUCGUAAAACUCUGUUGUUGGAAAAGAACAGGGACUAGAGUAACUGUUAGUCCUUUGACGGUAUCCAACCAGAAAGCCACGGCUAACUACGUGCCAUCAGCCGCGGUAAUACGUAAGUGGCAAGCGUUGUCCGGAUUUAUUGGGCGUAAAGCGAGCGCAGGCGGUUUUUUAAAUCUGAUGUGAAAGCCUUCGGCUUAACCGAAGAAGUGCAUUAGAAACUGAGAAACUUGAAUGCAGAAGAGGACAGUGGAACUCCAUGUGUAGCGGUGAAAUGCGUAGAUAUAUGGAAGAACACCAGUGGCGAAGGCGGCUGUCUGGUCUGUAACUGACGCUGAGGCUCGAAAGUAUGGGGAGCGAACAGGAUUAGAUACCCUGGUAAUCCAUACCGUAAACGAUGAAUGCUAAGUGUUGGAGGGUUUCCGCCCUUCAGUGCUGCAGCUAACGCAUUAAG